AGCGAACGCUGGCGGCAGGCUUAACACAUGCAAGUCGAGCGGGCACCUUUCGGGGUGUCAGCGGCGGACGGGUGAGUAACGCGUGGGAACGUGCCCUCUGGUUCGGAAUAACUCAGGGAAACUUGAACUAAUACCGGAUACGCCCGUUUGGGGAAAGGCUUGCUGCCGGAGGAUCGGCCCGCGUCUGGUUAGCUAGUUGGUGAGGUGACGGCUCACCAAGGCGACGAUCAGUAGCUGGGCUGGGAGGAUGGCCAGCCACCCUGGGACUGAGAAACGGCCCCGACUCCUACGGGAGGCAGCAGUGGGGGAUAUUGGACAAUGGGCGGAAGCCUGAUCCAGCCAUGCCGCGUGAGUGAUGAAGGCCUUAGGGUUGUAAAGCCCUCUUAUCCGGGACGAUAAUGACGGUACCGGAGGAAUAAGCCCCGGCUAACUUCGUG
rnacentral:rRNA from 1 species